rnacentral:ncRNA from 2 species
CUUUCCCCAACUUAAAAAGGUUCUGCUUAGCCGCAGAUUAAUAGGGAAUCGUGUGUAAAUCACGAACUGUCCCGCAACUGUAAGUAACACAAUCAGUUGCUGCCAAAAAAUAUCCACUGUUCAGCCGAAGGCGGAUGGGAAGGAUGGUAGCAAUGUUACAAGUCAGGAGACCUGCCUUUUUUAUGCUGGCAAU